CAGCAGAAUCCAGGUGGCGGCUGACUUGACCGCGGUGAAAUUCAUGUACUUAGAUAUCAGAUUUUUAGCUCCUGACUUUUUAUUAUUCGAGAACUGUUUUACAAUAUGAAUGUUAAACAUCAGGCUAAUAAUUCGUUCUGUCAAUGUGAGGGUGCAAAAAAACAAAUAAAACAUUACGCGUAAGAUUAAUAAUCUCAGAUUUAGGAGAGGAAGAGACAGGGCAAGAUAAGGAGACAGAGAAAAACAAACAGUGAUGGAGAUGAGGAGAGAGCAGUGGUAUUUCAACAAUCACUCAUGGAGUCUGACCAGGACUGGUAUGAUCAUUUUUACCCUUUUUAUGAGGACAGAAGUAUCUCACGUUUCGGUUUUGAUAAAUCAUUCAGCCCUAGGAUAACAUAUGUUUUCAGCUCAGGAAAAGAUGUAGGAAAUUUAAGAGAAGUAUGGCUUUAAUCAGUGUGGUUGUGUCAAUUUGUGUGAGUGUUUGAGACUUUUUAGAUACCUGUCAGCACAGUUUUGAAGAACGUCUUUGAGGAGCUGAUAUCUGAAACUUUCAAAUGUGCACCACAUCGAGAUCAGUCUUAUCACAGUGUCUCCCGAGAUUCUUUUCGGUCUGAUGGCCCAGUAUCUGAACCUGGACAGACGUCAUAAACUCAAUCAUUUUAAAUAAUUGUAUUUUAUACACAUCUUUUUAUUUUUUUAUACAUGUUUCUAUGUCAUUCAACAACACAAAUUCUAAAAUGUAAUCCUCUCUUUAACAUCUGAAAAUUUGCUUUGAAGUUCUAAAACACUUAAUUGGUUCUUGAGUUUUGUUGCUGCAACUUGAAUCUUGAAGAUGCUUUUAUUUUUUUAUUGUUUAAAGGCACUAUAUUAGAUUGUUUGAUAUUAGAACAUGACUGAAUGUAUUGAAACUUUUAACUCUGUGUACUGUAUGUACUAUUAAUAUUUCCUAGAGCACUUCAUAUGUAUUGAACUGAUUCUUGGUACAUAUUGUCACGAAUCCUGUCCAUGCACUUCCGUUCAUUCACCACCAGAGGUCACUCACUCACCACAUUGACUUUCACGCCACACAUCACAAUGGACUACGUUUCCCAUCAGCCAUCUCACCAAUCACACGCUCACCUGAUCACAGGCACACAGCUGUAAACAAUCACACUCUCUACUUAAACCCUGGACUUUCCUUCUGUCACUGCCGAGUAUUGUAUGCUUUAUCGCUGCCCUACAGAGCCCCGUUAGUUUUCCUAGUCUUGCCUUGCCUUGCCUUGCCUUGCCUCGCCUCGCCUAGCCCUGCCUUUGUUCGGAUUGUUUUCCCUUGCCUGGAUUAUCGCUGACGUUUUGGAUUACCUCUCCUGUCUCGCCCCUUUGGAUACUGUCCGCCGAUCGUCGACCCACGCUUGUCUUUGUUUACUCUUUGUCUCGCCCAUGUUAUACCUGUUUGCCUCUGUUUGACCCUGCCUGUAUGACCACGUCUCUGCUCAUUAAAAACCUGCA